rnacentral:rRNA from 1 species
CCAGUACAUAAAGGUUUGGUCCUGGCCUUUAUAUUAACUAGUAACAAAUUUACACAUGCAAGACUCCCCAUACCAGUGAGAAUGCCCUUAAUAUCUAAACAGAUAAAGAGGAGCAGGUAUUAAGCACACUAAAAGUAGCUCAUGAUGCCUUGCUCAACCACGCCCCCAAGGGAUACAGCAGUGAUAAAAAUUUAGCAAUGAACGAAAGUUCGACUAAGUUAUGUUAUUACAAGGGUUGGUAAAUUUCGUGCCAGCCACCGCGGUCAUACGAUUAACCCAAAUUAAUAAAUAUCCGGCGUAAAGCGUGAUUAGAAUAAACAACAAAAUAAAAUCAAAUAACAACUAAGCUGUAGAAAGUAAUAGUUGCAAACAAAAAUAAACAACGAAAGUGAUUUUAUACUCUUCGAACUCACGAUAGCUAAGGCCCAAACUGGGAUUAGAUACCCCACUAUGCUUAGCCUUAAACCUUAAUAAAUUCAUAACAAAAUUAUUCGCCAGAGAACUACAAGCCAGAGAUUAAAACUCAAAGGACUUGGCGGUGCUUUAUACCCACCUAGAGGAGCCUGUUCUAUAAUCGAUAAACCCCGYUAAYCCCUACCACUCUUUGCCAACUCAGCCUAUAUACCGCCAUCUUCAGCAAACCCUAAAAAGGAAUAAAAGUAAGCCUAAUUACUAUCAUAAAAACGUUAGGUCAAGGUGUAGCCCAUAGAGUGGAGAGCAAUCAAAUUAAUAAAUAUCCGGCGUAAAGCGUGAUUAGAAUAAACAACAAAAUAAAAUCAAAUAACAACUAAGCUGUAGAAAGUAAUAGUUGCAAACAAAAAUAAACAACGAAAGUGAUUUUAUACUCUUCGAACUCACGAUAGCUAAGGCCCAAACUGGGAUUAGAUACCCCACUAUGC